CCUACGGUGGCAGCAGUGGGGAAUAUUGGACAAUGGGCGAAAGCCUGAUCCAGCCAUGCCGCGUGUGUGAAGAAGGCCUUCGGGUUGUAAAGCACUUUCAGUGGGGAAGAAAGCCUUGGGGCUAAUACCCUCGAGGAAGGACAUCACCCACAGAAGAAGCACCGGCUAACUCCGUGCCAGCAGCCGCGGUAAUACGGAGGGUGCGAGCGUUAAUCGGAAUUACUGGGCGUAAAGCGCGCGUAGGCGGUCUGAUAAGCCGGUUGUGAAAGCCCCGGGCUCAACCUGGGAACGGCAUCCGGAACUGUCAGGCUAGAGUGCAGGAGAGGAAGGUAGAAUUCCCGGUGUAGCGGUAAAAUGCGUAGAGAUCGGGAGGAAUACCAGUGGCGAAGGCGGCCUUCUGGACUGACACUGACGCUGAGGUGCGAAAGCGUGGGUAGCAAACAGGAUUAGAUACCCGAGUAGUC
rnacentral:rRNA from 1 species